AUACCUUUUCAUAAUUUAUAGCAUUUCGAAUAACAAACAACAACAAACAACAACAAACCAUAACACUAAACAACAUACAAGAAACCCAACAAUCGAUGACCAAAUUUUUAUUCGGACAAAAUCAGAAGUCGCAAAAUAGUCGUAAAAAAGUAGCC
rnacentral:sRNA from 1 species